CCAACCCAACCCAACCCAACCGAGGCUGCUAAGAAGAUGAGCAACAUCAUCAACAGAGGAGAAGAUGAAGAUGAAGAUACAGUCUCGAAAAUUCCAUUGAUGAAAUCAAUGAAUAAGCGAUUUUACCAGAAUAUUGAUCAUUCCAAGGGUCGAUCACUUAAAGAUGAUUGAGAUCGAUGGUCUUGCUUGUGAUUUGUUUCAUAAGCCCAUCGAUGGAGCUACACAUCCAAUUGUUCUACUAGGCUGGAUUCCAAUAUGAAAAGAGGCAAAUGGACGAAGAAUUUGGAUGGCUAUGAAUUCAAGCUAAGUAUCCAAGUAAAAGCAACAAAGCAAACCACUCUCUUGAACUUGAAGCAUAUUGGAUGUGUUAAAAAUAUUUGUUAAAAUGUUAUAUGACAAAAAGCUAUAUAAAAGUGAGAUAUGAAUUAAAAUUUUCAGUAUAUGAGUGCUCCAAUAGAGUCGUAUUCUCUGAUUAGUAUAUGAG